CAGGGGGUGGCAAUUUAAUUCGAUGAAUAAUCGAUUGAUGAGCCUGAGAUGCAAUGCAAACUCCUUGAACCUGAUCCGGUUAAUACCGGCGUAGGAAUGGGCAGUUGA
rnacentral:ncRNA from 1 species